AUUGAACGCUGGCGGCAGGCCUAACACAUGCAAGUCGAACGGCAGCACAGAAGAGCUUGCUCUUUGGGUGGCGAGUGGCGGACGGGUGAGUAAUGUCUGGGAAACUGCCCGAUGGAGGGGGAUAACUACUGGAAACGGUAGCUAAUACCGCAUAACGUCGCAAGACCAAAGUGGGGGACCUUCGGGCCUCACACCAUCGGAUGUGCCCAGAUGGGACUAGCUAGUAGGUGGGGUAAUGGCUCACCUAGGCGACGAUCCCUAGCUGGUCUGAGAGGAUGACCGGCCACACUGGAACUGGGACACGGUCCAGACUCCUACGGGAGGCAGCAGUGGGGAAUAUUGCACGAUGGGCGCAAGCCUGAUGCAGCCAUGCCGCGUGUAUGAAGAAGGCCUUCGGGUUGUAAAGUACUUUCAGCGGGGAGGAAGGCGGUGAAGUUAAUAGCUUCACCGAUUGACGUUACCCGCAGAAGAAGCACCGGCUAACUCCGUGCCAGCCGCCGCGGUAA
rnacentral:rRNA from 1 species